CCCUUAGAUGUCCGGGCCGCACGCGCGUUACACUGAAGGAAUCAGCGUGGCUUUCUCCCUGACCCGAAAGGGUUGGGAAACCCGUUGAAUAUCCUUCGUGAUAGGGAUUGGGGCUUGAAAUUGUUCCCCAUGAACGAGGAAUUCCCAGUAAGCGCGAGUCAUAAGCUCGCGUUGAUUACGUCCCUGCCCUUUGUACACACCGCCCGUCGCUACUACCGAUUGAACGGUUUAGUGAGGGCCUCGGAUUGGUCUCGGCCCGCUCUUUACCGGGCGGCGCCGUUGGUCGAGAAGACGCUCGAACUUGAUCGUUUAGAGGAAGUAAAAGUCGUAACA
rnacentral:rRNA from 1 species